ACUGAUGUAUCCAACGAGUAUAUAGCCUUGGCCGACAGGCUCGGGUAAUCUUGGGAAAUUUCAUUGUGAUGGGGAUAGAUCAUUGCAAUUGUUGGUCUUCAAC
rnacentral:ncRNA from 1 species